rnacentral:rRNA from 1 species
GUGGGGAAUAUUGGACAAUGGGCGCAAGCCUGAUCCAGCCAUGCCGCGUGAGUGAUGAAGGCCCUAGGGUUGUAAAGCUCUUUCACCGAUGAAGAUAAUGACGGUAGUCGGAGAAGAAGCCCCGGCUAACUUCGUGCCAGCAGCCGCGGUAAUACGAAGGGGGCUAGCGUUGUUCGGAAUUACUGGGCGUAAAGCGCACGUAGGCGGAUAUUUAAGUCAGGGGUGAAAUCCCAGAGCUCAACUCUGGAACUGCCUUUGAUACUGGGUAUCUCGAGUAUGGAAGAGGUGGGUGGAAUUCCGAGUGUAGAGGUGAAAUUCGUAGAUAUUCGGAGGAACACCAGUGGCGAAGGCGGCUCACUGGUCCAUUACUGACGCUGAGGUGCGAAAGCGUGGGGAGCAAACAGGAUUAGAAACCCGGGUAGUCC